UGGCCCGAGAGAACCUAGUGGAUUUGGCA
rnacentral:piRNA from 1 species